GAUGAACGCUGGCGGCGUGCUUAACACAUGCAAGUCGAACGAUGAAGCCCAGCUUGCUGGGUGGUUUAGUUGCGAACGGGUGAGUAACACGUGAGUAACCUGCCCUUAUCUCUGGGAUAGGCCUGGGAAACUGGGUCUAGUACCUGAUAGAAGCGCCUACCGCAUGGAGGGUGUUGGAGAGAUUUAUCGGUUUUGGAUGGACUCUCGGCUUAUCCGCUUUUUGGUGAGGUAAUGGCUCACUAAGGCGACGACGGGUAGCCGGCGUGAGAGGGUGACCGGCCACACUGGGACUGCGACACGGCCCAGACUCCUACGGGAGGCAGCAGUGGGGAAUAUUGCACAAUGGGCGCAAGCCUGAUGCAGCGACGCCGCGUGAGGGAUGACGGCCUUCGGGUUGUAAACCUCUUUCAGUAGGGAAGAAGCGAAAGUGACGGUACCUGCAGAAGAAGCACCGGCUAACUACGUG
rnacentral:rRNA from 1 species